rnacentral:rRNA from 14 species
CACCAGGUUGAUUCUGCCUGACGUGGACACUUGCCUUGAAGAGUAAGCCAUGCAAGCUUGUGAAUAAAUCCUGAAACAGUGAACGGCUCAGUAGAACACAUUUCAUCUACCCAAGUUAAAAAUAACCAUGGGAAACUAUGGCUAAAUAUAAUUUGGAUGAGAGUGUGACCUAUCAGCUAGUAGGUACGGUAAGAGCGUACCUAGGCUAUGACGGGUAACGGGGAAUCAGAGUUCGAUUCCGGAGAGGGAGCCUGAGAGAUGGCUACUACGUCCAAGGAUGGCAGCAGGCGCGAAACUUACCCAAUGAACAUUGAGGUAGUUACGAGGCGUACCUAUGUAAUAUAAUUAUAUAGGGAUGAGGUAUGAUUUCAAAUCAUGCACGACAUACUGGAGGGCAAGGCUGGUGCCAGCAGCUGCGGUAAUUCCAGCUCCAGUAGUGUCUAUGUAAAUUGUUGCGGUUAAAACGUGCGUAGUCUGAUUUGCGAGAUCUAAAGUAAAGAUGCUUUUAUCUAAAAGUAGAAUAUUUUAGAGAUCAAAAAUCUUGAGACAGAGGAGAGGUAACGAAAUUCGAUGGCGAGAGGUGAAAAUUGAUGACCCAUCGAGGAGAAACAGAGGCGAAAGCGGUUACCAGAAGCUGUUCUGACGAUCAAGCACGUGAGCAGGAGUAUCGAAGGCGAUUAGACACCGUCGUAGUUCCUUGCAGUAAACGAUGCCCACACUGAUGUGCUUAACGCAUGUCAGACGCAAAAGUUAAAGUGAGGCUCCGGGGAUAGUACGGUCGCAAGAUUGAAACUUGAAGAAAUUGACGGAAGGACACCACCAGGAGUGGAGUGUGCGGGUUAAUUUGACUCAACGCGGGAAAACUUACCAGUACAGAUUACUAUCGUAUGAAGGAAUACCUGAUGAUGUAAUACGUGGUGCAUGGCCGUUCUUAACACGUGAAGUGAUUCCUCGUGUCAAAUCAGCUAACGCGUGAGAGGCGAGUCUUAUUUUAUAAAUAAGAGACGGCAUAGGCAACUAUGAGGAAGCAACGCCCAAUAACAGGUCCGUGAUGCCCGUAGAUGUUCUGGGCUCCACGCGCACUACAAUUAUAAAUACUAUUUUGUAAUUUAUAAUCAGUAGGGAUUGUUUGUUGUAAAACUUACAUGAACGUGGAAUUCCUAGUAUAUAGAUGUAAGCAACGUCUAUUGAAUAUUGUCCCUGUUCUUUGUACACACCGCCCGUCGUUAUCUAAGAUGGUUAUUAGGGGGAAGCUGAUAUAUUAUAUCAGAAGACUUCUGGUAACUAGAUUGGAUGUAAGUCGUAACAUGGUUGCAGUAGGUGAACCUGCCGCAGAUCAGUAG